GAUGAACGCUGGCGGCGUGCCUAAUACAUGCAAGUCGAGCGAACAGAUAAGGAGCUUGCUCCUUUGACGUUAGCGGCGGACGGGUGAGUAACACGUGGGUAACCUAUCUAUAAGACUGGAAUAACUCCGGGAAACCGGGGCUAAUGCCGGAUAACAUGUUGAACCGCAUGGUUCUACAGUGAAAGGCGGCGUUGCUGUCACGUAUAGAUGGACCCGCGCCGUAUUAGAUAGUUGGUGGGGUAACGGCUCACGAAGGCAACGAUACGUAGCCGACCGGAGAGGGGGGUCGGCCACACUGGAACUGGGACACGGUCCAGACGACUAAGGGAGGCCGCAGAAGGGUAUCGGCCGCAAUGGGCGAAAGUCUGACGGAACAACGCCACGUGAGUUACGAAGGUGUUCGGAGCGUAAAACUCGGUUAUUAGGGAAGAACCAAUGCCUACGUAACUGUGCGCGUAUUGACGGUACCUAAUCAGAAAGCCACGGCUAACUACGUG
rnacentral:rRNA from 1 species